rnacentral:rRNA from 1 species
CGGCACGGGUGAGUAACACGUAUCCAACCUGCCGUCUACUCUUGGACAGCCUUCUGAAAGGAAGAUUAAUACAAGAUGGCAUCAUGAGUCCGCAUGUUCACAUGAUUAAAGGUAUUCCGGUAGACGAUGGGGAUGCGUUUCAUUAGAUAGUAGGCGGGGUAACGGCCCACCUAGUCUUCGAUGGAUAGGGGUUCUGAGAGGAAGGUCCCCCACAUUGGAACUGAGACACGGUCCAA